ACGAACGCUGGCGGCAGGCUUAACACAUGCAAGUCGAACGCACCGCAAGGUGAGUGGCAGACGGGUGAGUAACGCGUGGGAAUCUACCCAGUCCUUCGGAACAACACAGGGAAACUUGUGCUAAUACCGGAUACGCCCUACGGGGGAAAGAUUUAUCGGGAUUGGAUGAGCCCGCGUUGGAUUAGCUAGUUGGUGGGGUAAUGGCCUACCAAGGCGACGAUCCAUAGCUGGUCUGAGAGGAUGAUCAGCCACACUGGGACUGAGACACGGCCCAGACUCCUACGGGAGGCAGCAGUGGGGAAUAUUGGACAAUGGGCGAAAGCCUGAUCCAGCCAUGCCGCGUGAGUGAUGAAGGCCUUAGGGUUGUAAAGCUCUUUCAGUGGGGAAGAUAAUGACGGUACCCACAGAAGAAGCCCCGGCUAACUUCGU
rnacentral:rRNA from 1 species